GCGCGAUCAGAUUCACAGGGUAAUGCAAUAUUCCACAACUUGAUCUCCCCCGAGAGCGCGUGGACCUGCAGGUACUGCCGGGACUGGUGUUGACAUGCAUGGAAACUGCUAUAGCGUUUUCAUGAAACUUUAUAAAACUCAAGAAUGCAUUGUCAACGGUUGAUACAUACGAUACAUUCCCUUGUUAAAUGAUUACUUGUGUAUUGUUGAUAUAGCUGUGGACUUUUAAAACAUUUUUACACAGAAUAUUCUGCAUUACAUAGUUAUGUUGUCACUGCUAGUUAUUCCCGAUUAUUACCCGGUUAGAUUUGGCACGCAACUAAUGAUUAUUUACCUACACAAAGUUAUUGUAUAAACGUGUAGAUCUUGUGUGUUAUCGCAGCAUGAUCACAACCCAUAUGCCCGCGGAUUUUGGUGCAAUAAAUUUGACUUGAAGGUACAUGUUAA